rnacentral:rRNA from 1 species
UAGAGUUUGAUCCUGGCUCAGGACGAACGCUGGCGGCGUGCUUAACACAUGCAAGUCGAACGGAGAACUUAGUAAUAGGUUCUUAGUGGCGAACGGGUGAGUAACGCGUAGACAACCUGCCUUCUAGAUGGGGACAACGUUCCGAAAGGGACGCUAAUACCGAAUGUCCUAUCGUUCCUGCAUGGGAAUGAUAGCAAAGGUGGCCUCUGAAUAUGCUACCGCUAGAAGAUGGGUCUGCGUCUGAUUAGCUAGUUGGUGAGGUAAUGGCUCACCAAGGCGACGAUCAGUAGCCGGUCUGAGAGGAUGAACGGCCACACUGGGACUGAGACACGGCCCAGACUCCUACGGGAGGCAGCAGUGGGGAAUCUUCCGCAAUGGACGAAAGUCUGACGGAGCAACGCCGCGUGAGUGAAGAAGGUUUUCGGAUCGUAAAGCUCUGUUUUUAGGGACGAAUGGUAGAUAUGCAAAUAGUGUAUAUACAUGACGGUACCUAAAGAGGAAGCCACGGCUAACUACGUGCCAGCAGCCGCGGUAAUA